rnacentral:rRNA from 1 species
UACGUAGGGUCCAAGCGUUAUACGGAAUUACUGGGCGUAAAGCGUUCGUAGGCGGUUUUGUAAGUUGGAUGUGAAAUCCUGUGGCUCAACCACAUGGACUGUGUCCAAAACUACAAGACUAGAGCAUAGUAGAGGCAAGUGGAAUUUCUGGCGUAGGAGUGACAUCCGUAGAUAUCAGAAGGAACACCAAUGGCGAAGGCAGCUUGCUGGGCUAUUGCUGACGCUCAGGAACGAAAGCGUGGGGAGCGAACGGG